rfam:Streptomyces sp. SCSIO 03032, complete genome.
CUUCACCGACCCCAACCACAACGGACGCCCCUCCACCCGCUCCCGCCCAUACGUCGCCAACAACGCCUGCGCCUC